rnacentral:snoRNA from 1 species
UCCCGUGAUGAUCGAAUUGGUCCGUGUUACCAAGCAGACUUAAGACCUCUGCAGAUGACGACGAAACCAGCAUUUAUGCGACUCUGACC